UACGAAGGGUGCAAGCGUUACUCGGAAUUACUGGGCGUAAAGCGUGCGUAGGCGGUUUGUUAAGUCCGCUGUGAAAGCCCUGGGCUCAACCUGGGAAUUGCAGUGGAUACUGGCAAGCUAGAGUGCGGUAGAGGAUGGGUGGAAUUCCCGGUGUAGCGGUGAAAUGCGCAGAUAUCAGGAGGAACACCCAUAGCGAAGGCAGCUUGCUGGGACGUAACUGACGCUAAGGCGCGAAAAGCGUGGGGAGCGAACAGG
rnacentral:rRNA from 1 species